rnacentral:rRNA from 1 species
UACGUAGGUGGCAAGCGUUGUCCGGAUUUACUGGGUGUAAAGGGCGUGUAGGCGGGGAUGCAAGUCAGAUGUGAAAUUCCGGGGCUUAACUCCGGGGCUGCAUCUGAAACUAUGUCUCUUGAGUGCUGGAGAGGAAAGCGGAAUUCCUAGUGUAGCGGUGAAAUGCGUAGAUAUUAGGAGGAACACCAGUGGCGAAGGCGGCUUUCUGGACAGUAACUGACGCUGAGGCGCGAAAGCGUGGGGAGCAAACAGG